rnacentral:lncRNA from 1 species
UCACUCCUCCACCCAUUUGCAGCCGCCACCCCACCUCCCCCAUCAAACCCUAGCCACCCCCUCCUCAAGCCCUUCUCUCCAAGGUGCCAUUCCUUUCCCGCUCGGAUCUACGUCGCGUUGGUGCAUGUCUCCAAUUGGAUUUUGGUGGAGGGAAGAAGAAGGGAGGAAAGGGGGAGGAUUCAAGGUGAUUUUGAGAUUGUAUCUUGUUUAAUUGUGUUGUAAUCCAAUUGAUUAUAUGUUUACCUAUCCGAAUCGGUAGAGGUGCUGUCCUGAAAUUUUGUGGGUGGGCGAACAGCAGUAGUUCUAGGGAUUUUUGGGAAUUUUUCGUGGGUAAUUAGUGGGGAUCAGUGGGUGAAUCAUGUAGAGCUUUGUCAUACCUUUCCAACGGGUACUUAUGCGCUCGAUUCGGAGUUAUAAUUUAGGAGAUAUCGUUGUUUGAAUCCGGUUAUGUUGCUGUCCAAAAAAACAGAUUUUCAGGUGGGUGAACAGCAGUAGUAUUAGCAGUUUCUGGGUAUUUUUCGUGGGUAAUUAGUGUUAACCAGUAUGAUAAUAAUGUAGGGCUUUGUCUUAUCUUUCCAAUGAGUACUUAUGCGCUUGAUUUGGAAUUAUAUUUUAAAAGAUAUCGCUGUUUGAAUCCGGGUAUGUCGCUGUCCAAAAGACAAAAAAACAGAUUACAGGGUUCAUCUUGUGGACUGUUUUGGGCUAAUUAGAUGUUGGAAUUUAAUUAUAAAUUGUGUACAAAACUUGUGGGGAAUUUUAUGUAGAUGCCUCUGGAGUUUUUGUUUGUUACCACUGCUGUCAUAAUUUUAAAGUUAUGAAAUUAUUAAGCAGCCCCACUGCAGUUUGGUGGGUGUGGGGAGAGAUGUAACCCGCGGCGGGGUUUAAGUUUGUGCGUAGGUGCGGCGUCGCUUAUGAGCCUGAUUAUGUGAAAUUGGUGCACUAAGUUGUGUGUCAAAAACAGGUGGUGGACUUCCGGAUCGUACUUAGGGAUUUGCGCGAACUUCCGGUAAAGGCAAGUAAAUACAGUGGUGGUUGCUACCGUUUGGUUUGCAUCCUAUUCCCUGUCAUUGAGUAUGCAUAAGUUUUAAUUAUGUUAAUCAUUGAAUUCUAUGAUGAAGUUUAUUUGUUUGGAAGUAUUAAUUCUCAAUUGUCUAAUAUUGUGGAUGAUCAUAAUUUGAUAAUGAUAUAUGUGGUUGAUUCCCAUCUUGGAUGAAGUUGAAGUAUCUUUUUGAAUCACGUUAUAUGAAGUGUUGUAGGCAUGACAUGCACAUCGCAUCAUCCAUCUUGCAUUUUGAAGUUAUGUCGUGAUCUUAUGGUCCGACCGUACCGGUACAUUUUUAGCAUCGUACGUUGCCCGAGGAGGGGUACGAUGCGGCUUCAUAUCCUUAGAGGUAUGAAGGCAGAAGUCAUUCUUGCAUUUGCAGACAUUUACACUCAUGAGGUAUAUAUAUAUGAAGUGUGACAUUACUAUGUUACUAUUGUGGUUUCUACCUGCGAGGUGUGGUGACUAGGUGUGUUGUACGUUGUAUACAUGUUGCACCUUCGUAAUAAGAAGGUUGUGGAAUCAAGUGGUGGUAAAACAAUGUUCUUAUGUGGUUAAACAGUUUGAUAUUAUUUUACUUGCUGAGAUGUGUCAUCUCACUCUUGCAUUACUCAAUGCAGGUACUUGAUACAUGUUGGGAUUGAGGGGAGUAGCAGCACGUCCACUUUCACUCUCACAAUAGCGCUGCCGAGGUGCAGCCAUGAUUUAAUUAGAAAUUUAUUGUCAAAGGAAGUUUGUUUUUUUACUAGUCGUGCGCACUAGUUAAUUCAGUUCAUGUCGUAUGUUUAACUUCU